rnacentral:rRNA from 1 species
UACGUAGGGAGCAAGCGUUGUUCGGAUUUACUGGGCGUAAAGGGCGCGUAGGCGGCAACUCAAGUCAUCUGUGAAAUCUCCGGGCUUAACUCGGAACGGUCAGAUGAUACUGUUUUGCUAGAGUGCAGAAGGGGCAAUCGGAAUUCUUGGUGUAGCGGUGAAAUGCGUAGAUAUCAAGAGGAACACCUGAGGUGAAGACGGGUUGCUGGGCUGACACUGACGCUGAGGCGCGGAAAAGCCCAGGGGAGCAAAACGGG